GACCUGAGAGGGUGAUGGGCCACACUGGGACUGAGACACGGCCCAGACUCUUACGGGAGGCAGCAGUAGGGAAUCUUCCGCAAUGGACGAAAGUCUGACGGAGCAACGCCGCGUGAGUGAUGAAGGUUUUCGGAUCGUAAAGCUCUGUUGUUAGGGAAGAACAAGUGCGAGAGUAACUGCUCGGCACCUUGACGGUACCUAACCAGAAAGCCACGGCUAACUACGUGCCAGCAGCCGCGGUAAUACGUAGGUGGCAAGCGUUGUCCGGAAUUAUUGGGCGUAAAGGGCUCGCAGGCGGUUUCUUAAGUCUGAUGUGAAAGCCCCCGGCUCAACCGGGGAGGGUCAUUGGAAACU
rnacentral:rRNA from 1 species